UACGUAGGGGCGAGCGUUGUCCGGAAUUAUUGGGCGUAAAGGGUUCGUAGGCGGUAAUACAUGUCAGAUGUGAAAUCUUGUGGCUUAACCACAUCAAGCAUCUGAAACUGUAUAACUUGAGUGGAGGAGAGGUAAGUGGAAUUCCUAGUGUAGCGGUGAAAUGCGUAGAUAUUAGGAAGAAUACCAGUAGCGAAGGCGACUUACUGGCCACUAACUGACGCUGAUGAACGAAAGCGUGGGUAGCAAACAGGAUUAGAUACCCUGGUA
rnacentral:rRNA from 1 species